rnacentral:rRNA from 1 species
GAGCGUACACAGGUGCUGCAUGGCUGUCGUCAGCUCGUGUCGUGAGAUGUUGGGUUAAGUGCCAUAACGAGCGCAACCCUCAUCAUUAGUUACCAUCAGGUCAAGCUGGGGACUCUAAUGAGACUGCCAUCGUAAGAUGCGAGGAAGGUGGGGAUGACGUCAAAUCAGCACGGCCCUUACGUCCGGGGCGACACACGUGUUACAAUGGGUGGUACAAAGGGCAGCUACCUGGCGACAGGAUGCUAAUCUCCAAAACCACUCUCAGUUCGGAUCGGAGUCUGCAACUCGACUCCGUGAAGCUGGAUUCGCUAGUAAUCGCGCAUCAGCCACGGCGCGGUGAAUACGUUCCCGGGCCUU